UCUAGUUAAAACAGAAGCAGAAGUAUUAGAUGAAGGACUUUGGGGAGCGGAAGAGCCGGAAUUAAGUGGCAUUUUCAAUGUGACCUUCUUGUGAGGUCUACAAACGGUAAAUUUGUUUUUUUCACUUUGGGCUUCAGUGGCAUCCAAAAUUUUUGUAGCCAUUUCUCCUUUAGCACCACGGAUUUUUUCAAACCCUCGAAAACGUCGAGAUGGUAAUUCUGGAACAACUGCCAAAUUCGGUGCCGAACUAAAACCUUUG